rnacentral:lncRNA from 1 species
UUUAGGGUUUAGAGUUUACUUUUUAGGGUUUAGGGUUUAGUGUUAAUAGUUUAGGGUUUAGUGUUGAAGUUUAGGGUUUAGGGUUUAGAGUUGAUGUUUUAGGGUUUAGGGUUUAAGGUUUAGGGUUUAGGGUUUAGAAAGAAAGAAAGAAAGAAUAGUUUUUAUACACAACUAAUCAAUUUGAUAGUUAUUCUAAUAAAAAAUGUAAUUUUGUUGUAAUUAGAGAGUUUAGAGCUGAAUAUUUCUGUGUUAUUAUUAAUGAUCAAGGGGUUCCUUUAUAUAAGGAUUACAAGAUAAAGAUAAAUAGAAAGUAU